AAGGGAGACCUAAUUCAGGUAUAAGACGAAAAAAAAGUAGUCCCUACCAAGAAUCAAUCCCAAAAGGUCGGAACGAGGUAUGAGGCUUUCAAACUAGGUUCUGGGUUCAUAAAAGACCUGAAUCAGGAACAAGGGCUAUUAGCUCAGGUGGUUAGAGCGCACCCCUGAUAAGGGUGAGGUCCCUGGUUCGAGUCCAGGAUGGCCCACCUGCACAGGUGGCAAAAACAAGAGAAGCGAGGAAUCAGCACCUUAUCUUACUUACAUAGUAAGAGAGAAUGCUGGCUCUGAGUAAAGAGUCCAGAGGAACCUUGAAAACUGCAUAGAGCUAGGUGAAAAAGCCAAAAAAGAAGACCGCAA
rnacentral:tRNA from 1 species